rnacentral:pre_miRNA from 13 species
GGUCAUGCUUUUCCACAGCUUUCUUGAACUUCUUUGCCUUGCUUAAUCUGUGUAUAUAUAGAUCACUACAUGUACAGCUCCUAUAUAUAUAAAUAUAUGUAUGUAUAGCGCCAUGGAAGCUCAAGAAAGCUGUGGGAGAACAUGGCAA